rnacentral:rRNA from 1 species
GACAGAGGGUGCAAACGUUGUUCGGAAUUACUGGGCGUAAAGCGCGUGUAGGCGGCUAAGUAAGUCGGGCGUGAAAUCCCACGGCUCAACCGUGGAAGUGCACUCGAAACUGCAUAGCUAGAGUCCUGGAGAGGAAGGUGGAAUGCUUGGUGUAGAGGUGAAAUUCGUAGAUAUCAAGCGGAACACCGGCGGCGAAGGCGGCCUUCUGGACAGUGACUGACGCUGAGACGCGAAAGCGUGGGGAGCAAACAGG